GGGGAGAUGGCUCAGUGGUUAAGAGCACUGACUGCUCUUCCAGAGGUCCUGGGUUCAAUUCCCAGCAACCACA
rfam:Mesocricetus auratus contig132676, whole genome shotgun sequence.